rnacentral:rRNA from 1 species
GGAAUCUGGGAGGACCAUCUCCUAAGGCUAAAUACUCUCUAGUGACCGAUAGUGAACCAGUACCGUGAGGGAAAGGUGAAAAGCACCCCGGAAGGGGAGUGAAAUAGAACCUGAAACCGUGUGCUUACAAGUAGUCAGAGCCCGUUAAUGGGUGAUGGCGUGCCUUUUGUAGAAUGAACCGGCGAGUUACGAUUUGAUGCAAGGUUAAGCAGUAAAUGUGGAGCCGUAGCGAAAGCGAGUCUGAAUAGGGCGUUUAGUAUUUGGUCGUAGACCCGAAACCAGGUGAUCUACCCUUGGUCAGGUUGAAGUUCAGGUAACACUGAAUGGAGGACCGAACCGACUUACGUUGAAAAGUGAGCGGAUGAACUGAGGGUAGCGGAGAAAUUCCAAUCGAACCUGGAGAUAGCUGGUUCUCUCCGAAAUAGCUUUAGGGCUAGCCUCAAGUGAUGAUUAUUGGAGGUAGAGCACUGUUUGGACGAGGGGCCCCUCUCGGGUUACCGAAUUCAGACAAACUCCGAAUGCCAAUUAAUUUAACUUGGGAGUCAGAACAUGGGUGAUAAGGUCCGUGUUCGAAAGGGAAACAGCCCAGACCACCAGCUAAGGUCCCAAAAUAUAUGUUAAGUGGAAAAGGAUGUGGCGUUGCCCAGACAACUAGGAUGUUGGCUUAGAAGCAGCCAUCAUUUAAAGAGUGCGUAAUAGCUCACUAGUCGAGUGACACUGCGCCGAAAAUGUACCGGGGCUAAACAUAUUACCGAAGCUGUGGAUUGUCCUUUGGACAAUGGUAGGAGAGCGUUCUAAGGGCGUUGAAGCAUGAUCGUAAGGACAUGUGGAGCGCUUAGAAGUGAGAAUGCCGGUGUGAGUAGCGAAAGACGGGUGAGAAUCCCGUCCACCGAUUGACUAAGGUUUCCAGAGGAAGGCUCGUCCGCUCUGGGUUAGUCGGGUCCUAAGCUGAGGCCGACAGGCGUAGGCGAUGGAUAACAGGUUGAUAUUCCUGUACCACCUAUAAUCGUUUUAAUCGAUGGGGGGACGCAGUAGGAUAGGCGAAGCGUGCGAUUGGAUUGCACGUCUAAGCAGUAAGGCUGAGUAUUAGGCAAAUCCGGUACUCGUUAAGGCUGAGCUGUGAUGGGGAGAAGACAUUGAGUCUUCGAGUCGUUGAUUUCACACUGCCGAGAAAAGCCUCUAGAUAGAAAAUAGGUGCCCGUACCGCAAACCGACACAGGUAGUCAAGAUGAGAAUUCUAAGGUGAGCGAGCGAACUCUCGUUAAGGAACUCGGCAAAAUGACCCCGUAACUUCGGGAGAAGGGGUGCUCUUUAGGGUUAACGCCCAGAAGAGCCGCAGUGAAUAGGCCCAAGCGACUGUUUAUCAAAAACACAGGUCUCUGCUAAACCGUAAGGUGAUGUAUAGGGGCUGACGCCUGCCCGGUGCUGGAAGGUUAAGAGGAGUGGUUAGCUUCUGCGAAGCUACGAAUCGAAGCCCCAGUAAACGGCGGCCGUAACUAUAACGGUCCUAAGGUAGCGAAAUUCCUUGUCGGGUAAGUUCCGACCCGCACGAAAGGCGUAACGAUUUGGGCACUGUCUCAACGAGAGACUCGGUGAAAUCAUAGUGCCUGUGAAGAUGCAGGUUACCCGCGACAGGACGGAAAGACCCCGUGGAGCUUUACUGUAGCCUGAUAUUGAAAUUCGGCACAGCUUGUACAGGAUAGGUAGGAGCCUUUGAAACGUGAGCGCUAGCUUACGUGGAGGCGCUGGUGGGAUACUACCCUAGCUGUGUUGGCUUUCUAACCCGCACCACUUAUCGUGGUGGGAGACAGUGUCAAGCGGGCAGUUUGACUGGGGCGGUCGCCUCCUAAAAGGUAACGGAGGCGCUCAAAGGUUCCCUCAGAAUGGUUGGAAAUCAUUCAUAGAGUGUAAAGGCAUAAGGGAGCUUGACUGCGAGACCUACAAGUCGAGCAGGGUCGAAAGACGGACUUAGUGAUCCGGUGGUUCCGCAUGGAAGGGCCAUCGCUCAACGGAUAAAAGCUACCCCGGGGAUAACAGGCUUAUCUCCCCCAAGAGUUCACAUCGACGGGGAGGUUUGGCACCUCGAUGUCGGCUCAUCGCAUCCUGGGGCUGUAGUCGGUCCCAAGGGUUGGGCUGUUCGCCCAUUAAAGCGGUACGCGAGCUGGGUUCAGAACGUCGUGAGACAGUUCGGUCCCUAUCCGUCGUGGGCGUAGGAAAUUUGAGAGGAGCUGUCCUUAGUACGAGAGGACCGGGAUGGACAUACCUCUGGUGUACCAGUUGUCGUGCCAACGGCAUAGCUGGGUAGCUAUGUGUGGACGGGAUAAGUGCUGAAAGCAUCUAAGCAUGAAGCCCCCCUCAAGAUGAGAUUUCCCAACUUCGGUUAUAAGAUCCCUCAAAGAUGAUGAGGUUAAUAGGUUCGAGGUGGAAGCAUGGUGACAUGUGGAGCUGACGAAUACUAAUCGAUCGAAGACUUAAUCAA